UUUUAUGGAGAGUUUGAUCCUGGCUCAGAGUGAACGCUGGCGGCGUGCCUAAUACAUGCAAGUCGAACGAUGAAGCUUCUAGCUUGCUAGAGUGCUGAUUAGUGGCGCACGGGUGAGUAACGCAUAGGUCAUGUGCCUCUUAGUUUGGGAUAGCCAUUGGAAACGAUGAUUAAUACCAGAUACUCCCUACGGGGGAAAGAUUUAUCGCUAAGAGAUCAGCCUAUGUCCUAUCAGCUUGUUGGUAAGGUAAUGGCUUACCAAGGCUAUGACGGGUAUCCGGCCUGAGAGGGUGAACGGACACACUGGAACUGAGACACGGUCCAGACUCCUACGGGAGGCAGCAGUAGGGAAUAUUGCUCAAUGGGGGAAACCCUGAAGCAGCAACGCCGCGUGGAGGAUGAAGGUUUUAGGAUUGUAAACUCCUUUUGUUAGAGAAGAUAAUGACGGUAUCUAACGAAUAAGCACCGGCUAACUCCGUGCCAGCAGCCGCGGUAAUACGGAGGGUGCAAGCGUUACUCGGAAUCACUGGGCGUAAAGAGCGCGUAGGCGGGAUAGUCAGUCAGGUGUGAAAUCCUAUGGCUUAACCAUAGAACUGCAUUUGAAACUACUAUUCUAGAGUGUGGGAGAGGUAGGUGGAAUUCUUGGUGUAGGGGUAAAAUCCGUAGAGAUCAAGAGGAAUACUCAUUGCGAAGGCGACCUGCUGGAACAUUACUGACGCUGAUUGCGCGAAAGCGUGGGGAGCAAACAGGAUUAGAUACCCUGGUAGUCCACGCCCUAAACGAUGGAUGCUAGUUGUUGGAGGGCUUAGUCUCUCCAGUAAUGCAGCUAACGCAUUAAGCAUCCCGCCUGGGGAGUACGGUCGCAAGAUUAAAACUCAAAGGAAUAGACGGGGACCCGCACAAGCGGUGGAGCAUGUGGUUUAAUUCGAAGAUACACGAAGAACCUUACCUAGGCUUGACAUUGAGAGAAUCCGCUAGAAAUAGUGGAGUGUCUGGCUUGCUAGACCUUGAAAACAGGUGCUGCACGGCUGUCGUCAGCUCGUGUCGUGAGAUGUUGGGUUAAGUCCCGCAACGAGCGCAACCCCCUUUCUUAGUUGCUAACAGGUCAUGCUGAGAACUCUAAGGAUACUGCCUCCGUAAGGAGGAGGAAGGUGGGGACGACGUCAAGUCAUCAUGGCCCUUACGCCUAGGGCUACACACGUGCUACAAUGGGGUGCACAAAGAGAAGCAAUACUGCGAAGUGGAGCCAAUCUUCAAAACACCUCUCAGUUCGGAUUGCAGGCUGCAACUCGCCUGCAUGAAGCUGGAAUCGCUAGUAAUCGCAAAUCAGCCAUGUUGCGGUGAAUACGUUCCCGGGUCUUGUACUCACCGCCCGUCACACCAUGGGAGUUGUGUUUGCCUUAAGUCAGGAUGCUAAACUAGCUACUGCCCACGGCACACACAGCGACUGGGGUGAAGUCGUAACAAGGUAACCGUAGGUGAACCUGCGGUUGGAUCACCUCCUUUCUAGA
rnacentral:rRNA from 1 species